UAGGGAAUCUUCGGCAAUGGACGAAAGUCUGACCGAGCAACGCCGCGUGAGUGAAGAAGGUUUUCGGAUCGUAAACCUCUGUUGUUAGAGAAGAACAAGGACGUUAGUAACUGAACGUCCCCUGACGGUAUCUAACCAGAAAGCCACGGCUAACUACGUGCCAGCAGCCGCGGUAAUACGUAGGUGGCAAGCGUUGUCCGGAUCUAUUGGGCGUAAAGCGAGCGCAGGCGGUUUCUUAAGUCUGAUGUGAAAGCCCCCGGCUCAACCGGGGAGGGUCAUUGGAAACUGGGGGACUGGAGUGCAGAAGAGGAGAGUGGAAUUCCAUGUGUAGCGGUGAAAUGCGUAGAUAUAUGGAGGAACACCGGUGGCGAAGGCGGCUCUCUGGGCUGUAACUGACGCUGAGGCGCGAAAGCGUGGGGAGCAAACAGG
rnacentral:rRNA from 1 species